rnacentral:rRNA from 1 species
AACGAACGCUGGCGGCAUGCCUAACACAUGCAAGUCGAACGAGACCUUCGGGUCUAGUGGCGCACGGGUGCGUAACGCGUGGGAACCUGCCUUUAGGUUCGGAAUAACAGUGAGAAAUUACUGCUAAUACCGGAUGAUGUCUUCGGACCAAAGAUUUAUCGCCUUUAGAUGGGCCCGCGUUGGAUUAGCUAGUUGGUGGGGUAAAGGCCUACCAAGGCGACGAUCCAUAGCUGGUCUGAGAGGAUGAUCAGCCACACUGGGACUGAGACACGGCCCAGACUCCUACGGGAGGCAGCAGUGGGGAAUAUUGGACAAUGGGCGAAAGCCUGAUCCAGCAAUGCCGCGUGAGUGAUGAAGGCCUUAGGGUUGUAAAGGCUCUUUUACCCGAGAUGAUAAUGACAGUAUCGGGAGAAUAAGCUCCGGCUAACUCCGUG